AUACGACCGUACCGCAAACCGACACUGGCGCGCGAGAUGAGUAUUCUAAGGCGCUUGAGAGAACUCAGGAGAAGGAACUCGGCAAAUUGACACCGUAACUUCGGAAGAAGGUGUGCCCUAUUAGUGUGUAGUGAAUAACGAAGCAUGAAUGGGUUGCAAAAAAUCGGUGGCUGCGACUGUUUAUUAAAAACACAGCACUCUGCAAACACGAAAGUGGACGUAUAGGGUGUGACGCCUGCCCGGUGCUGGAAGAUUAAAUGAUGGGGUGCAAGCUCUUGAUUGAAGUCCCAGUAAACGGCGGCCGUAACUAUAACGGUCCUAAGGUAGCGAAAUUCCUUGUCGGGUAAGUUCCGACCUGCACGAAUGGCGUAACGAUGGCCACACUGUCUCCUCCUGAGACUCAGCGAAGUUGAAAUGUUUGUGAUGAUGCAAUCUCCCCGCGGAAAGACGGAAAGACCCCAUGAACCUUUACUGUAGCUUUGUAUUGGACUUUGAACAGAUCUGUGUAGGAUAGGUGGGAGGCUUUGAAGCAGGGUCGCUAGAUCUUGUGGAGCCAACGUUGAAAUACCACCCUGGUGUGUUUGAGGUUCUAACCUAGGUCCAUUAUCUGGAUCGGGGACAGUGCAUGGUAGGCAGUUUGACUGGGGCGGUCUCCUCCCAAAGCGUAACGGAGGAGUUCGAAGGUACGCUAGUUACGGUCGGACAUCGUGACGAUAGUGCAAUGGCAUAAGCGUGCUUAACUGCGAGACUGACAAGUCGAGCAGAUGCGAAAGCAGGACAUAGUGAUCCGGUGGUUCUGUAUGGAAGGGCCAUCGCUCAACGGAUAAAAGGUACUCUGGGGAUAACAGGCUGAUACCGCCCAAGAGUUCAUAUCGACGGCGGUGUUUGGCACCUCGAUGUCGGCUCAUCUCAUCCUGGGGCUGUAGCCGGUCCCAAGGGUAUGGCUGUUCGCCAUUUAAAGAGGUACGUGAGCUGGGUUUAAAACGUCGUGAGACAGUUUGGUCCCUAUCUUCCGUGGGCGCUGCAGAUUUGAGGAAGCCUGCUCCUAGUACGAGAGGACCGGAGUGGACACACCUCUGGUGUAUCGGUUGUCACGCCAGUGGCAUUGCCGAGUAGCUAAGUGUGGAAGAGAUAACCGCUGAAAGCAUCUAAGCGGGAAACUCGUUUCAAGAUGAGAUCUGCCGGGGCCUUGAGCCCCCUAAAGAGUCGUUCAAGACCAGGACGUUGAUAGGUCAGGUGUGGAAGC
rnacentral:rRNA from 1 species